UACGUAGGGACCAAGCGUUGUUCGGAUUUACUGGGCGUAAAGGGCGCGUAGGCGGCUUAACAAGUCACUUGUGAAAUCUCCGGGCUUAACUCGGAACGGCCAAGUGAAACUGUUAUGCUAGAGUGCAGAAGGGGCAAUCGGAAUUCUCGGUGUAGCGGUGAAAUGCGUAGAUAUCGAGAGGAACACCUGCGGCGAAGGCGGGUUGCUGGGCUGACACUGACGCUGAGGCGCGAAAGCUAGGGGAGCGAACGGG
rnacentral:rRNA from 1 species